rnacentral:rRNA from 1 species
ACGGGGUAGUAACGGGUAGGUGACGUACCCUCGGGUUGGGGAUAGCCACGGGAAACUGUGGGUAAUACCCAAUAAUCUCCUGGAGUGUGAUGACUUCGGGAGCAAAGGUGUGAUUCCACCGGAGGAGCGGCCUGCUUCGUAUUAGCUAGUUGGUGAGGUAACGGCUCACCAAGGCUUCGAUGCGUAGGGGGUGUGAGAGCAUGACCCCCACCACUGGGACUGAGAUACUGCCCAGACACCUACGGGUGGCUGCAGUCGAGAAUCUUCGGCAAUGGGCGCAAGCCUGACCGAGCGACGCCGCGUGUGGGAUGAAGGCCCUUGGGUUGUAAACCACUGUCAGAGGGGAUGAAGUGCCAGAGAGUUAUCUCUCUGGUUUGACAUAGCCUCAGAGGAAGCACGGGCUAAGUUCGUGCCAGCAGCCGCGGUAAUACGAACUGUGCAAACGUUAUUCGGAAUCACUGGGCUUACAGGGUGCGUAGGCGGCUUGUUAAGUAGGGUGUGAAAGCCCCCGGCUCAACCGGGGAAUGGCGCCCUAAACUGGCGAGCUGGAGUGAGAUAGGGGUGUGCGGAACUUCCGGUGGAGCGGU